rnacentral:tRNA from 1 species
GGCUCUGUAGCUCAGUCUGCGGAGAGCGCGAGCGUGAAAACCUCGAGGCCAUCGGUUCGAAUCCGAUCGGAGCCA